AAAGUGGUAACGGAUGGGACAUAGGAGGGUGGUAACAGAUGGGACAUUUGGCAUUUCAAAGCCUUUCGUCUGAUCAACACCCUAAUGACGGCGCUUAAGAGAUUCUAAAAUUGCAUGGUGAAUUCUGCAGAAAAGAAGCGAAAGAAUUUUGAAAUUACUUCAAACCUUUUGUAUUUAAAGUGGUUUAUAAAUGUUUAAGAACUUGAAUGACAGGGAUAUUCUUAACUAUUAUAAUUCGGUCAGAGUCUACUUACAGGAUUCAAGGAACAUCGUACGUAUUAAAUUAAAUACACUAUUCCUAAUAAUUUAAUCUAUUUGCAAAGGGAUUGAAGCCUAUUUAAGAGCACAUCUUAAGUUUACGAAUGCCAUAACUCUGUUAGUGAGCUGAUACAAACUAUCUAGUUUCUUUUUGAACUCAGUGAAGUUGUGAAAUUAUUAUUGUUCGUUGAUCUGACCUUACUUCAUCCAUAUCUUGAUAAUGGCAUCAGUUCCUAAAAAAGAGCAGAUGGCCAAAUCCGCCAAAGAUUAUUAUCUUUUUGCGAAAAAAUGUUGAAAAACGACCGUUUUUUAUGUAACGACUGAAGAUACCUUAGAGAAUUAAAAAUUUCUUGAUGCGAGGAGGAAUAAUGUUUUAAAAGUGUAAGUGACACUCGAAGAAUGCAAGACUGUCUUAGGCUUAAGCGCAUUCCAUCAUUUCAAAAAAUUUGACAAUUAUCGUAUUGUUGUUGGGCAAACUUCGAAGUCUACGCUGCAUGAACUCACAAUUUUCCCUUGCGGACCACCUGAAUUAUAUUUUAAGCACCUAACAACACAUAUACGUUUAAAAUACAGCGAUGUAUACUCCGAAAGUGUUUUUGAAGAUUAAAUAAAAAAGUAGUGUGAUACUAGUAUUAAUUUUAUAGAUAUAGAUGUUGUUAAGAAUGUACGUAGAAUAAACUUUUAACCCUGAGUUUUUGGCAAUAAAAUUUAGUUUUCCAUUGAUUUAAAACUUUGAUAACUUAUUUAAAUCCUACUCCUUUCAAUUCUGAUCGUACUUCCUGAUCGUACAUGUCCCAUCCGUUACCUUGCUGUGUCCCAUCCGUUACCCAAAAGAAGAAUUUUAUCCAAAAUUCUAAUUCACAUAUUUUCGAACUGGACAUAUAUAAAAAGAAAACUUCAACAGACAAAUCCAUUACAAAAAAAAUUGGUGUUAUAACCAUUCUCAAUUCGCAAAGUUCUGAUUGAAAGGAAAAGUAAGUCCGGAAGUGAGUCCCAUACGAGUCCCAUCCGUUACCCUCGUUUUCGUUUUAUAACAUAAAAAUUAUCCAAUUCAAUAGAAUUUUGGAAUCUGAAAACUAACAAGUUCAUGCAUCUUUGUAUAGAUAGCGUAGCUUAAACAAGAUACAGUUAUUUUAAAUAAGGAUUUUUCCAGUUUUUAUGCGUGCAAAUGUCUUAUCCGUUACUUUGGAAUGGCCGAAUUAUAUGUAUAUGUUUUAUUAGGCUGCCAUUCAUUGUAUUCUAUAUUUUGAAUAGUAAAAAUCACACACAGAUAAGUUGUACUUUGUAAAAAAUUGUUCCGAAUUAUUGUGAAAAAUUUUUUAGUUCGCUCAUGAAAAUAUAGAGACUCCAUCAGUCGAAAAAAAUAACGAAAGACAAGAAUUAAAUAGAAAUUCCGUAAACGAUGACACAAACGCAUACAGAAAGUACACCAAACGCACACAGACGUAACCGACCUAUACACAUAAAUAUAGUUGAUUUACUAUCUACCAAAAUUGAAAAUAUGUUAGGAAGUUGGAGAAUGGAAGACGAAAAUGUCACGAAUCUAGAAAAUAGCGAUCUUAAAACGAAUAGGAUAGAAAGAGAAAUAGAAAGUAAAAGAAAAGAACUAGAAAAUUUAGAAAGAGAAAAAGAACGAAUAGAAUCAAGUUGGUUAGAACGCGGAGAAACUCUGAGAAAAGAGAAAGAAAGAAUAUACAGAAAAAGAGCAGAAACAGAAAGAAUAGGUAGCGAAAAAUUGCGAAUAGAAAUGAAAUGAGGCACAAGAAUUAAUAAA